AGCUUGCUAAAUGGACUCAUGGCGGACGGGUGAGUAACGCGUAAAGAACUUGCCCUUUAGACUGGGAUAACAGAGGGAAACUUCUGAUAAUACUGGAUAAGUUAGUAUAUCGCAUGAUAUGCAAAUGAAAGCUACGGCACUAAAGGAGAGCUUUGCGUCCUAUUAGCUAGUUGGUAAGGUAAGAGCUUACCAAGGCGAUGAUAGGUAGCCGGCCUGAGAGGGUGGACGGCCACAAGGGGACUGAGAUACGGCCCUUACUCCUACGGGAGGCAGCAGUGGGGAAUAUUGGACAAUGGAGGGAACUCUGAUCCAGCAAUUCUGUGUGUGUGAAGAAGGUUUUAGGACUGUAAAACACUUUUAGUAGGGAAGAAAAAAAUGACGGUACCUACAGAAGAAGCAACGGCUAAAUACGUGCCAGCAGCCGCGGUAAUACGUAUGUUGCGAGCGUUAUCCGGAAUUAUUGGGCUUAAAGGGCAUCUAGGCGGUAAGACAAGUUGAAGGUGAAAGCCUGUGGCUCAACCAUAGGCUUGCCUACAAAACUGUUGAACUAGAGUACUGGAAAGGUGGGUGGAACUACACGAGUAGAGGUGAAAUUCGUAGAUAUGUGUAGGAAUGCCGAUGAUGAAGAUAACUCACUGGACAGAAACUGACGCUGAAGUGCGAAAGCUAGGGGAGCAAACAGGAUUAGAUACCCUGGUAGUCCUAGCUGUAAACGAUGAUCACUGGGUG
rnacentral:rRNA from 1 species